UAAGUUAUAAAACUGUGCUCAGUUUGCUUACAUUGGCAGCAAAUUAUGCUUCCAUAGUUCCAUGCACAUACAAUUUAAAUUGAAUACAAGCUCAGACAAACUGGUAAUUUCUCCUACUAGCUUCGUACUUGAUGUUGUACGUGAUGUGACAAUGUGGCCAUCAAGUCGCUGUAUCUGGCGUAGCUCCUCAAGGCGCACAUUAUUCUGGCGCACCAUCAAGUCGUCAGUCAGCUUCCGUCGGCUUCAAGAAGUCACUCGUCCAUGCAGUGGUGCUUCAAACAUAAGUAAAUUUUGCUUCCGCGAGGUAGUGCUUCCAACUCCGUCAAAAUCACCCCUGAUUGCUUGAAGCAAAUCACCGUUCCAACAGAAGCAAUAAAAGAUUUGACUGGAGGCAUAUAAGCAAGGCAUGUUUGGCAAGCUAGUGUGGAAGAACAGCAAUAUGUGGGAAGCAUGUAAUUUGGCAUUUUGAAGCAAUAAUAAAGUAGAACAGAAGCAAACAUUACAUACACUAGUAAAUGAAUUGGGAAUCGUGUCAUCCUAAUUUUGUUAAGUAUGGAAGCACAGUGUUAAAACGACGGCGAAGAUAGCACCCGAGGACGGAUAUAGAACGAAAAAUAAAUAUGGAAGGAGGCAUCAACAGUUUAAUAUGUAUGCAUUACUGUUAGAUUGGAAAAGGCUAAAUAAUGAAGUGUGUUUUUAAAAAAGACAAAUAAAAAUCUCCAGACAGACUAGAAAGAAAUAUACGAAAAUCAGGAUGCAUGACUAUAAUUGUAUAUGUACAUGAGAAGCAUGCAACAAGCACCUAGGUAGCAUGAAUGCUAAGCAAUGAUCUUUACUGGAAGCAUGGAUGUUUUCAAGCAAUGCUCUGAAUGAAAAUGCUAAUUACACAGUUGAAAAUGUAUGCAUCAAAAACUAGAAUGAAGUGGCUUGAAGAAUCUGUACAUAUGAAGCUUCUAGGAAGCAUGACAAAGGAUUGACAUUCCAUAUCCAUACAUAGCAAAGCCCCUACAGUGAAUUCAACUAUGCAGUAUUAUUGGAGCAUGAACAGUUUUGAUUCUUAUAAGGAGAAGCAAAAAUAAAUUAAGAAUUAAGUAGCAGCAAUCAAGGAAGCUUGGAUCAGAAACUAUACAAGCACAUGAAUCGAGAUGUUGGAAGCUCCAUUUGCAGUAUGCAUGACAAUAAGAGACAUGACAUAGAACAUGGGGCUCGGUUGGAAGCAUAAAUUAAUGAAGCUUGAAGCAAAUUAGUGCUGUGGCCAGCAAAGGGCUGGAUGUUUUGUGUUACCAACAUACAAAUUGAUAUAUAAAAAAAUUAUAACCUAUAGAAGCAAAUUGUAUAGAGUUCAGGAGCAUCUAUAUUGCGCUUUAGAUGCUGCACAACAAAGAAGCAUGAGUAUGGUACUUUGGGAACAUAACUAGUCUUGGAUGGAAGCAUGGAAAAUUCAUAGUGUAACGGAAACUAAUAAUCUUAUAUUACUGUCAAGAUUGUGAUGCAUAUCAUAGUGAUGUGCUAACGGAAUUAACCAAAAUUCAUAGAUGAUAUAGUGACCAAUACAUGUCGGAUAGACCCUGAUAUGAACAGAAGAAUCGAGAUUAGAGGACUAAAUACCUUGGUAUCAUUGCUGCAUGCGAGGGAGGCGAGUGAAUCCUGAAUUGUUCUUCGCAUGCUGCCUUCGUUCCUCAAC
rnacentral:lncRNA from 1 species